CCUAUAUGCACCCUAGUUCUCUGUAUGCAAACUAGAUGGCACUUUGGAUUAAAGCAGGCUGGAAUUUAGUUGUUUGUAUAAUCAAGUAACUUUUGAAUGAAGAGCUUCUUUAUAUCUUUCAUCUUUUGUAAGAAAGAAAACUGGAAAUGGCUGGGAGUGAGGAUUAUUCUUGCAGCUGAGACAGAAGGAUGGGUGCACAAGGUCAUUCGGUCCAUGGACUUGUCCUGCAGAUGCUUACAGUGAGCGAAUGCCGACAUGGCCAGUACCAAUAACUGAAUCUUCUAGAUGGCUUUUGAUGUGAUAAGCUAUAGCUUGUCCAAUUGCAGUAUGCUUGGGAACCAUGGUUUGAAGAAGAACAGCUGCUGGAAGAAAAGCUUGAUGUCUGUGCCAAGGGAGACGUACACCGCACUUGCGCUGCCUGGACGAUGUGGAAACUGGAAAUUGUGGGGUGUGCUGAAGCAUGCCCUCUCAGCUUUCGCUCGUGGAAGCACAGAGCAAAGUGACAAGAAACAGCUGCGAGUUCAAGGAAUUGUCUACCUUGUUCUGAUCUCCUGCCAG